rnacentral:rRNA from 1 species
CAUCCUCGCGCUUGAAGAAGCUUCGUCGCUUCCAGUACAGACGGGUUGUUCGGGCGCCUUCGCUCGGGACGGUGACUCGAAUGCACCGCUGCCAUCUCCCGACGCGCGACGGUCGCAUCCGGCGGCCCCUACCGAUCAAACAGAAACACUCUUCGACCUGAGAUCAGA